AUUGUGAAACCUAAAACCAGCCACAUAUGUACAUCUGUUUUUCCUACUUUCCCAUGAUAAGAGGGUAGUUUUUGUUGACUAGUGAGAUCCACCACCUUUUUGAGAACAAUGGAGAAAACUGGAAACGUCACGUAGCUUCCAACGUAUCGUGUACUCGCUCACCCCCAUUGAUGUAAAAUGUUCGGGAGACUGGCAGAUGUUUCCCGAAGCAGGCGGGUAUUCUCGUUUCAGGUAUAAAUAGGGCUCGUUUUGCCACAGCACGUCACUCUCGAAAAAUAAGUGUUCAAGUGCAGACGUAGUGUAGCUGAAAAAAGUUAAAAAUAGUACAAGAAAUUUUCCAUAAUUCCUGGCCAGAAAUAAGUUAUUAGUACAAACAAAAAUGUAUCAAAAGUGUGAUAAUCGUGUUGCGGAAGCUGAGAAGCGGAAGCAGAUUGGCACAGUGGCCGAGGGUCCCACGUAGUAUUUCUCCACGUUCAUCGACGUUUGGAAACAAAGAAACCAGUCCCCCAGUGGAAAAAUCAGGCGAAUUAGUCAUCGAUUUUGCUCGUCAGCGUCGAGGAGUUUCACAAUGUGAAAAAGGCAGUUUUGCAGUCUCUCGAGGUUGGCUAGGCAGAUCCAGGAUGUCCAGGACCACGACAAUCUCCCCCCUAAGUCGCAUGGCGAUGGCCCUGACCUACGGUGUUCGAGGAUUUGAAGUGUUGGGAUAGGAAGGAAGCCAGGUACACACAGCAGCGAGUCCAGCCAGAUAUUUUUUUUUCACUGCAUCACUAAAUUCUUGGGCGUUGAAUGUUGAUACGCGAACGCGUACACGCGAUCGAUCUCAAGUACCCUGCGCGAGCAUGGCAUAUGGCAAUGUGGGUGGCUACAAUGCACCUAGCCAGCCGUCUAUGCAGCGUUUGGUGAAAGUUGUGCCCACGACCGUGACAGCGAUAUAUAUAAUGUAAAAAUAUAUUUCGAUGGUCGUGGGUUGCAUAUCGACCCAGGGUCCCUCGAAUAAGUGGGAUUGAUUUUGCGGAUUGUGUUAUAUAGGAACACUGCUGUAUCGACUUCUCUGCUCCACUAAGGGUGAACCGUAAUGUCAUCGAUCGAGUACUAAUAGCGGGCAGACAAUCAUAUCUCUAUGAUCCAACUACAAUCGGUCUCGACCUUGGCAGCCUAUUGAUCCUAUUCAGUCACAGCGUCUCUGGAGUAGUCGCAAGCGUCAAAACCAAACUAGAAUUGUAUUAGUUGGUUUCUAUAAACUUAUUAACUCUAUUCUAAAUAUUCUGUUGUAAAAUGAAAUAUGGAAUUUAUUUCCUCACCAACAAAGUGUUCAUAUCUUUAAAGCAAUUUGUUUUUGUUCUUAAAUAUCGUAAACUGUUUACAAUUUUUUUUGGUUUUUUUAAAAUCUUAAGAAAUGUACUUGUGUAAAUUUGUUUAAAAAAAAAAACAAAGCAAAAAAUGAAAAAAAUUAAUACCAAAAGAGCUUCUGAAUAGAAAAAGCCACAAGAAAAAGUGAAUAAAAAAAUUCAAAAAAUAGAAACAAAUAAAUUUCGAAACAUCUGCUCGUCAAAUUUUUUUAUUUCAAGCUCAGAUUCGAUUUCAGUUAGAUCAUCAUUUUUUUACAUAGCGUUACCACAUUAGCUCAUGGAAGAAGAUCCUUUAUAUGACCGUGUACACCUCAAUCGACAUCGACGAUCUCUAUAAGAAAAUGAAAAAUUCUACCAACGUCUACUUAAUGAGGAAGGGCCUUUGAUCUCUAUCUAUGCUGAAUUAUGAAAAGUUUGUAUGGGAUGAUCUAUUAAGAAUUAAUUCCUGCCAAAAAGUAUGUAUAUAUUUUAUGUUUUCAUAAAUUCCAAAUAGAAUGGAACAAACUGCAUUCAUGAAUAUAAAAAAAAUCAAAUAAAUACAAUAUAAAGAAAUAAUGGUACCAAAUAUAACUAUAAAAUACUCAAUGAUAAAAAUCUUAUAAUGAAACCUCAAAAAAAAUUAACAAUAACUACAAAUCUAGUCUUAAGUAUGAUAAACUAUCAAAGAAAAAUAUUUACUAAUUCAAUAAUAUUCAAUUUCUAGGUAGAACAUGGUUUUAGGUAGGGUUUACUGAAAAACAGGUAGGAUUUAAAUGUUAAAAUUCUCUGCAAUUAUGAACCUACACUACGUUUUUAAGUCUUUAGGUAGGUCUGAAAAAUGUAUUCCGGUAUGACUAUAUAAGACUACGAUCGAAAAUAUGAAUUUUUGCGUAAUUAGGUAGGUUGUGAAACUGUAAAACAUAAGUGAACUUAUUUCAUUCCUCUCACUUUUAUAUUUUAUAGGAAGGUACAUAUAAAAUACACUUUUUAAACAAAACUCUAAACACAAACAAAAGAGGAUAGGUUAUGAUACAAAUAUGCAUAAAGUGUGACAAUGAAAUAAAACAAUGGUAUUUCGAAAAUCCAGUAAUGGUUAAAUAUUGAUUCUCCAAUUCUAUUCUUGGUAAAUACCGUAGGUAGGAAAGUUUAAAAUUUGGUAUUCUACUUUUAGGCAGGGUUCUGAAUUUCUCUUGAAAAUAAAAACUUCUUAGGUAGGGAUCUCUAAAAUGCUUCAAUCGUAUAAAAAUAAGAUCUUUAACAUCUUAAAAUAUAACAUCUUUUUAGGAAGGGUUUUAUUUGUACGUUUUUAGGUAGGGUUCUCUUAACUUCAACCACCACAAAUAUUUGUUUGCGCCGAUUUAAUCGUAUAAUUUUUUUAGGUAGGAAUUUUAUUUGUAUUCUCUUUUUCCUUUAGUUCAAGGAAGGUUAAAUGAGAAACAACUACUAAUAAUCUUUAGGCUUAUUUAAUCCGUAUACUUUUUAGGUAGGGGUUUGUUUAUAUACAAGUCUAGAAAAUGCUCUGCAAAAUCCUUUUCUAAGAUUUAAAUCGUCUAUUUAGGUAGGAUACUAAUAAUCCUGUAUUUCUGCAAGUUUAAGGCGAGUCCCCAAAAUUUCUCUACAAUGUCAUAUUAUUCACGAGAAUUUCAAUGGUAUAGUUUUUAAGUGUUGUACAAUAAUUACUUCGUUUUUAAAUAAUUUUAACGUUAAGGUUGGUUAUCAAAAAUAUAUAUUUUCUUUGUUUCAAAAAUGUUUAGGUAGGGAUUCUUAAAGCCUAAGUUUCAACAACUAUUAAUUAUUUUUACGCGUAUCUAAGCCGUUCCAUUUUUAGGUAGGGUUUUGUUUAUAAACCAGUCUACAAAAUCCUUCUCUUUUCGAUGAUUUAAAUCGUCUUGUUCUUACGUAGGGUUUUACUUUUACUCUGUAUUUCUACAUGUUUCAGGUACGGUUUCCCAACAAGUUAGCAAAAUGUCUUUAAAUAUUUUUCGAAUUCAAAUUCUUCUUAGGUAGGUUUUCUCAACGGUGAUUUAAAUGAAUGUCUUUUUAAAUGGUACAAGAUUUGUUCUGUAUUUUUACAUGUUUUAGGUUGGUUAUUAUAAAUAUACCUAAUUUCCCCAAGGUUUAGGUAGGGAUUUUUUAAAAUUUAUCAACUUAAAAUAUAUCUUUACGCUUUUCAAGUCGUAUCCUUUUAAGGUUACUUAUACAAGUUUUCUUCCAAAUGCUUUUAUAUGCGAUAAAUUAAACCGUCCAUUUAGGUUGGGUAUUACACAUAGUUUUUCUCCAACAUCCAAAAAAUAAAAGUCAAACUAUCUACUACGGCUCUUCAAUGUACUCGUUUUGAUUAGGUUUAUGACAAUUUUUGUUUGCAUUUUGUAAAUAGGGCUUAAAAAAUCUCUUAAAUGAGUUUGAUACCGCAACGGUUUCAUCGCAUUUGUAUAAUUAUUUGUAGGCUAUCAUAGUUGUAAUAAAAUCUUAAUUCUACACAUUUUUAAUGAAAAAUUGUGAUGUAGAAAAUCCCUAGCAUAGUGUCUCACCAUCUGUAAAAUCAUAUUAAGUUU